rnacentral:rRNA from 1 species
GACGAACGCUGGCGGCGUGCUUAACACAUGCAAGUCGAACGGAAAGGCCCUGCUUUUGUGGGGUGCUCGAGUGGCGAACGGGUGAGUAACACGUGAGUAACCUGCCCUUGACUUUGGGAUAACUUCAGGAAACUGGGGCUAAUACCGGAUAGGAGCUCCUGCUGCAUGGUGGGGGAUGGAAAGUUUCGGCGGUUGGGGAUGGGCUCGCGGCUUAUCAGCUUGUUGGUGGGGUAGUGGCUUACCGAGGCUUUGACGGGUAGCCGGCCUGAGCGGGUGACCGGCCACAUUGGGACUGAGGUACGGCCCAGACUCCUACGGGAGGCAGCAGUGGGGAAUAUUGCACAAUGGGCGGAAGCCUGAUGCAGCAACUCCGCGUGCGGGAUGACGGCCUUCGGGUUGUAAACCGCUUUCGCCUGUGACGAAGCGUGAGUGACGGUAAUGGGUAAAGAAGCACCGGCUAACUACGUG